rnacentral:misc_RNA from 1 species
AGGAGGGUAGAGUGUACGUAAACCUUACCCCUUAUCUUGAGAGGUAGAGAUAUUGUUUCCUAUAGAUCCUCGCCUCAAAGAAAAGCGUAUCAAAGAAGAUCGGAAACAUAAAUAACGAAGUGAAGAAAUCAUAGGAAAGCAUUCUGAAGAAAGAACAGUAAUUACAACAAAAUAGUGUGAUAACCGCAGUACAAGAGACAGUGAAUAGUGAUAGAUAAGAACCUGGAGAGAAACUGCAUACGCU